UCUGGUUGCAGCUACAAACGAAGGACAUGAUAAGAUUGCACAGUUAUUAAGUGAAGAAGCUGAUCCAAAUAUUACAAUUCAUAAUAAGGAGUUAUGUGAAGCUGCUGAAAGAGGUGAUUCUACUGGUGUCCAGUCUGCACUGUCUCAAGGAGCUAAUGUAAACUAUCAAAAUCCUAAAGAGGAUGGAACUACUGCUCUUAGUAUAGCAGCAGAGAGAGGACAUUUGGACAUUGUACAAUUGCUGUUGAAUGAUGGAGCUGAUAAA